GGGCCUAUAGUUCAGUGGUAGAACAGCACGUUCGCAAUGUGCAGACAGGAGUUCGAUUCUCCUUAGGUCCACCA
rnacentral:tRNA from 1 species